AGUGAACGCUGGCGGUAGGCCUAACACAUGCAAGUCGAACGGCAGCACAGUAAGAGCUUGCUCUUACGGGUGGCGAGUGGCGGACGGGUGAGGAAUACAUCGGAAUCUACUUUUUCGUGGGGGAUAACGUAGGGAAACUUACGCUAAUACCGCAUACGACCUACGGGUGAAAGCAGGGGAUCUUCGGACCUUGCGCGAUUGAAUGAGCCGAUGUCGGAAUAGCUAGUUGGCGGGGUAAAGGCCCACCAAGGCGACGAUCCGUAGCUGGUCUGAGAGGAUGAUCAGCCACACUGGAACUGAGACACGGUCCAGACUCCUACGGGAGGCAGCAGUGGGGAAUAUUGGACAAUGGGCGCAAGCCUGAUCCAGCCAUACCGCGUGGGUGAAGAGGGCCUUCGGGUUGUAAAGCCCUUUUGUUGGGAAAGAAAAGCAGCAGGUUAAUACCCCGCUGUUCUGACGGUACCCAAAGAAUAAGCACCGGCUAACUUCGUG
rnacentral:rRNA from 1 species